UUCAGAAUCGUAUAAUGGUUAACUUGUCCAGCGGUAGAGUCAGACAGCUUGGAAGCAAGUUCUUAACCUACAAUUUACCAGUGAAGGUACCUGUAGGCAACUGACCUGACCUGUCCAAGCCUCAGUUUCCUCGUGGGGUGGUAAUAAGAGCAUUUACUGUCCUGGAUCCACACACCUGGCUGUGAGAAGGCCAACAAAGGUUAGUAAUGAUUAUUCCUCAGCACCUGGUAGCUUGGGAUGGUCUCCAUGCCUCAAUUCAUAGGCACCAUACCAAGAUGAAGGUAUUGUUUUGAUUCUUUAAUUUUCACUGACUUGUGCUGUUUUGCUAGGGCGUAACUGGCUUAAUUUAGUCCUCUGGCUUGUGAAAUAUUUGCAUGUGAUCUUUUGAGUACAGCCUUGGUUCUUAGAGUCCUUGCAGCAGAGAGAGCCACAAUCCAUAGAUUUCAAGAAGGAACCCAGGGUGGGCAGUGGUGGGGGCUGCAGCGUGAGGAUGCUACUUGGGUUCUGGCCAUUGACUCUGUCAUGGAAGUCCUGGAGGUAAUUUCCCCUUAUUAUUGAACUUGAAACAGCUAGGGUAAAUAAAGCAGAUUUUAAUCAACUGCAUUAUAAACAAAAGGCACAGAUGGCAGGGAGAGAUUGACUGACAACAGCAAAGUCCCUGAGGCUCUCUUGAACACCCCUGGGGGGGGGGUGAGAAAGACUGAGGCCCCCUCCUUUGUUUUGUUCUUGGCGUUUAUGAAUUCCAGGAACUCCUUUUCUUCAAGUACAGAGCUGCCAUCAACAGGAUGUUAGGAGGUGAAUGCUCUUCCAAGCCACAGAGAAAACACUCUCACUUAGGAUCUGAAUAGGUCAAGGGGCCAUCGGCCAUCCAAAGGGCCAGGGUUUACAUGAACUGAACAAAUGGAGGUUGAGGGAGGACAGCUGGAAUAACAAGGAAGAAAUAAGAAAGAACCACGAGAGAAGCUUCAUAAAUCUUAAAAUCAAGAUUCAGCGUUGCGUUAACGUCAGGGCCACUGCUGUUUGUGGGGUCACCUGAAGCAAACAAGACCAGUCAUAUUGCUGGAUCCUGCCACUAAUUUUUAACCACAGUGAAAUGACUGAAGGUGAAGCAGAGUCCUUUUCCAAGACUUCAAGAAGUGGAGUUAAACUGGGCGCCGGGGCGCAUGCCUGUAACCCAGUAAAGGUACCUUUGGCAACCUACCUGACCUGUGCUCGGGAGGCUGAGGCAAGAGGAUCGGGAGUUCAAAGUCAGCCUCAGCAACUCAGUGAGGCCCUAAGCAACUCAGCAAGAAACCUGUCUCCAAAUAAAAUACUUUUUAAAAAGAGGCUGGGGAUGUGGCACAGUGGUUAAGCACCCUUGGGUUCAAUCCCAGUACCAAAACUAAAACAAAGACAAACAAACAAAAUGUGGUACGAAGACAGUCUAUCCCACGCAUGCCACAAGAUCUGUGGAUGUUUCCAACCUGGAAAACUUGGAGAGAGGUGGACCUAGGUAGAAAUGAGCGCCAAGGUGGAAAGAACUGAACUGAAUGCUGACAUGGGGACAAACUGGAUCCUCUGGGCUAUCCGAGACCGACGGGGUCAGUGAGAACAAACUUUCCAAAGGACUUGUUGCGUGUAACUCCUGUGAGUUAGAGAAACAAUAGUACACAGCCAGGCCGUCGUUCUCAAAGUGUGGCCCUGGGACCCUGGAGAGGGUGCCUAGAUCCUUCCAGGGGGGUCUGCAGGGUCACAGCUAUUUCCAUCAUAAUACGAAGGUAUUCUUGGCCUUUUUCAGUCUUGCUUUUUUUGUACUCAAACAGUGGAGUUUUCCAGAGACUAUAUGACAUGUGAUAUCACAACAGACUGAAUGAAGAAGCAAAUUUGAGAAUCCAGCUGGCUUCUGUCAAGUCAGACAUUAAAGAGAUUUGCAAAAAAAAAAAAAAAAAUGUAGAGCAAUGUGAUUCUUUGAGUGAGUUGGGUUUUUUUUUUUUAAGUUUUUGAAAAUAGCUAUUUUCAUAAAAAAUGUUUUAUGUAAACACGAGCUUAUUAUUGGUAUUCCUAAAUAAAUAAAUAAGCACUUAAUUUUUUUUUCAUCCUAGAUUUCUAAAACAGCAAAUUCUCAUAGACAAAACUCAUCAACAAAAGCUUUUGGGGGUCUCCAGUUAUUUUCAGAGUGUGGAGAGUCCUGAGACCAAAAAAGUAUGAGAACUAUGCAUUUAGAGGUUUGAAGAGUGUGACGCUUUUUCUCAGUGUUAGGAGCAGAAUAGAAUAAGCCCCAAUAUUUGUCUGUAACCCCUGGUUUCCUGGUUUUUCCUGGUUUCCUUUAAAAUUUUAAAGAAAAGGACAUUUUAAAGGAAACCAGGACAAAGAACAUAGGGAACAGGCCCUGUGUCUGAGGCCAAUGGAGCAAGCCUUCCCAGCUAUCAUGCGGUCUUUACUCAGGUAAAGGAUUUUGGCUGGACCACAAAGAUGGUCUUGGGGAAAGCCCGAUUUUGAUGAAUGCAAUGGAGUCGGAGAUAAUGCUGUAUCAGAGAGCUGGCUCAUGGCCUACCUCUGCCUGGCCAAGUCCUUUCACGCCCAGGGAAAGAUGCUCUGCUAAGAGCAGCAGUGAGGAGGUAUCUCUCACAGGCCGUGGGACAAGACUUCACAGUAGAGAAAGGCAAGUUCCAGCACAGACCCAGCUGACCACUGCUGUAACAGCCUUGGCCAUCAUUGGCAACCAGGCCCAAGUUCAUUUGGUGUUUAAAAUAAUAAUAAUAAUAAGAGCUGUGGUGGUGCAGCCUGCCUGUGUGCAAGGGAGCUCUCCCACCUGAGGAGACGUGACACAUAGUUCACUCCAUAGUCAUGCAGAAACUCUGUGCCUAAUUGUCCAGGGGAAGACCCAGCUGACAGCUGAUUUCCUCAGCCCCAGUCUGGUGCCAGCUGGGUGGCUCUGCUCUUUACACACAGGGAUGGGAUCCCAGGCCAGCUCGCAGCCUCUGCUUCCAGCUCAGUGGGUUGGAGGCUCUGACCUUUUUUUUUGGUCUUUUGUCAGAAGGUCCUGCCCCUGGCCCUUCCAGGGUGAGCCUCUGCCAGAGAAAUAAAGCAAGGGUUGGACUGAGAUCUCAGAAAACCCUAGAGAACAGAAAAUGGAUCAACAAGCUAGAUUUUAUGGGGCUUUUCAUUCACACAAGGGUAACACACUACUCAUUUGAAUUGUUCAGAAAAACAAAGGGAAGGUGUUUUUCAAGGAUUGUGCACAUUGGCCCAUGAAUUAGCCAAUCCAGGAAAUGGUUGAAGGGAGCAGGCUAAUGAAUGCAGGGCUUGUUCUUUUGGUUAAUGAAGUAAUUAGUUGCUGUAUUUAUAUUCCACCUUCUCAAAAGAAUUCAAGUUCACUUAUAAAAAUACACAACAAAAUCAUUGAAACUGAGGAAGGUAAGCAGAUUGUUUUUCAAAUAACAAGAACUCUCACAUUUGAUUAAAAAAAAAAAAAGAAAAAAAGGACAAAGGAAAACAUGGGUUUCCACUGGAGGAAGGUGCUCAGCUCCUACAACAAUCACUAACAUCUCCGCGGAACCAAGAACGUGGAUCAGGAAACUCUCAGUAAAACCAGAGAGAGAGCUGACUUACCAUAUGCGGACACAUUUACAUAUAGGUUGAAGUCUUAAUAAUAGAUUCUUUAAAAAAAAAUCCCAAAUAUUUUAACCCUUAAUUUGAAAAAAAAUUAAAGGAUUCAUCUAAAAUAGAUAAAUACAUGAGUCCAUCAGGUCCAGAGUCAAUAAUGUUAGAAAUAGAAAAUAAGAAGACACUGGAAGUAAGGUCCGUGCACAAAUCAUGUGUAGACAGAAGGCUUUGAGGGUUCCAGCACCUAGCACGAGGAAAAUAGCACGAUAAGCCACAUAUUUCUUGAGGUUCAUUAGAUAAAAACAGACCAUCCCUCAGUACCUGGUGUCACGUAGGUAAACCUCAAAGCCAGGAAGCUGAGAGGUUCAACUGUCUUAUUGAAGGACCUUUUUUUUUUUUUUUUCCUUUUGCCUGAAACGAUUGAGUGCCCUUUGUUCCUGAUUACACACAGGUGACUUUAAGAACUUAGUAAAGCAUGAAAAUAAUUAUUCCACCAAGUAGUGAUCAUCAGAUGCGGAUAUAUGGUAUCCCCUUCCUUCUCACUCAUAGUAUUUGUAACACUAAUCUCCUACGUCCAUUCCUUUAUUUAUUUUAAUAAAAGAAUAGAAAAGCUAUUAGAAGGAAUAGGAAAAGGGAAAAAGGGAAAGCUCACUAAGGAAAGAGUGGAUGCUCUUGGAGAGGAGAAGGACCUAAUCUCCUCCAUUUCGAUGGAAUCUGGUAAGAAAGAAAAGUCUGUGGGGAAAGAAAAAUAUACUAUUGAAAUGUAGGGUGUUAUUUGAACUAAUAUUAAGAACUUUAAGCCUGUAAUCCCAGCAGUUUAGGAGCCUGAGGCAGGAGGAUGGUGAGUUCAAAGACAACCUCAGCAACUUAGCAAGGCCCUAAACAAUUCCGCAAGAUCCUGUUCCUAAAUAAAACAUAAAAAGGAUCGGGGAUGUGGCUCUGUGGUUAAAUGUCCUGGAGUUCAAUCCCCAGUGCAAAAGAAAGAAAGAAAAAAAAAAAAAAGAACUGUAGAGCCAGGAAGGUUUGCGCUGAAAUGUUGGUUUUGGCUUAUUGGCUGUGCUCUCUCAGGUGAUCUACUUAACUCCCCUGAGACCUUUACUAUCAUCUAUAAAAUGUGUCUGUAACAUAGUCUAUCUCACUGGACUGCCAUGAGGAUUAACAAUGCAUGUAAAAUAUUUAGCAGAUUUUUGUGUGUCAUAGCGGUGUUAGCUUUCCAUUACUGUAACAAAUACCUGAAAUACUUCAGCUUAAAAAAGAAAAGAAAUUUAACUCACAGUUUCAGAGGUUUCAGUCCAUGGUCACUUGGCCCUGAUGUUUUGGACCUGUGGCAGCACAGAGCAUUAUCGCAGGAGGGCACAGUAGAGGAGGCCUGUUCAUUCAUGGUGGACAGGGACCAGAGAGAGAGAGAGAGAGAGAGAGAGAGGAAGGGGCAGGGGUCCCAAGGUCUCCUUCAAGGAUAUUCCCCUAAGACCUAACUUCCUCUAAGUAGGCCCCACUCCUUAAAGUUUGAAUCAUUUUCCAAUAAUGCCCUGGGUUGGGGACCAUGGCUUUAACAUAUGGGAUUUUGGAGGACAUUUCAGAUCCAAACUAUAGCAAUAGGCAUUGAAUAAACAUUAGGUCAUGAUCCAAAGUACAUCUUCUACAAAGAUCCUCACUGUAGCCCUAUUAAUAAAGAGAGCCCUUAUUCUUACCUUAUUCUGUGGACUGAGAGACAUAAUUUGCCUAGCACCCAGAAAAUCCUUUGAUGAAGAGAAGAACUACCUAUGUGAUCUAAAUAAGUGAGCUACUCUGAAGGUCCUGUGAUUCUAUCAUUAGAGAUUCAUUCCCUUGCAUUUAAUCUCUUUCUCCAAAUGUGGAUAAUAACCCAAGAGUGACAACACAUUAAGAGUUUAUAGUUUUAGGGGGCAAGGGGGAUACGUACCAAAGUACAUAUUGUACAACUAGAAUGUAAUAAUCUUGUUUUGCUAUCAUUGGAUUUAUUAUGGUUAAUUUCUAUUAAUGAUAAGGAAUAAUAGUCGCUCAUUUAUAGCAGUGAUAUACAUUUAAAAAAUAAAUGUACUUGAGUUUUAAAGCUGGUUGACUUAAAUCAGAACAUAAGUUUUAAAAAGGCAAUUGGUGAAUGGAAAUGGCAACAAUUAUAAUGGCCGUGUCUGAAUAUCUGCAGUUUUGAAAUUGCUCUUUUAUGGGGUUAAUAGUUAAGCGUGGACCUGUCCUAUGAGAUUUUAUCUGAGGUGGCUUCUGCUUAAGAUUCCAGGGACUCUCCUCAACAUUUCCCGGGCUCUAGUUACACAGAACUGCUUGCUGUUUCCCUUUUGUUUUGUUUUGUUUUUUCCUAUAUAAGCUAGUUCUACUAAUUGGAAAGCUCGUCCCUUCCUUCCCUUCUUGACAAAUGAACUCCUGUGAGUCUGCUCUGGAGACCCCAGGUGACAGUCCCUCGCAGCCAUUCUCACCAAGUAAACAGAGUGGAUCUCUUGUCUGUGGGUCUCUUAGAGCACCUCGCUCUGCUCCGUCAGAACAGUCCUAUGGGAGUAUGACUUCUCCUAGGGACCCUGCUCCUCUAAAUAACCAUCUCAGGAUACAUUCAUUAGCUUACUCCUUCUGUCCUGGGCACCGAGAAAGCAUCAUUAAGGUCUCUCUUCCUCCUGUCGUCAAGUCUGAAUCAGAGUCCCCUUAACAGGCCAAACGGCUGCAGAAGCUAUUCAUUGAAGGGCUGAGCUUUGAAACAACUGAUGAGAAUCUGAGAAGACGUUUUGAGCCCUGGGGAACACUCACAGACUGUGUGGUUAUGAGAGACCCAAACACCAAGCGCUCUAGGACUUUGGUUUGUCCCUCAUGCCACCAUGGAGGGAGUGGAUGCAGCCAUGAAUGCAGGACACACAAGGUGGAUGGACCGUUGUGGAACCAGAAAGAGCUGUUUCAAGAGAAGAUUCGCAAAGACCAGGGGCCCACUUUUUAAUUGUGAAAAAGAUCAUCAUCGGAGGCAUUAGAGAAGACACUAAAGAAUGUCACCUAUGAGAUUAUUUUGAACAGUUUACGAAAAUUGAAGUUAUUGAAAUCAUGACUGACGGAAGCAGUGGAAAGAAGAGGGGCUUUGCUUCGCUAACUUUUGAUGACCAUGAUUCUGUGGAUAAGGUUGUCUUUCAGAAAUGCUGUACUGGGAAGGGCCACAGCUGUGAAGUGAGGAAAGCCCUCACAAAGAGAUGGCUGGUGCUUCAUCCAGCCAAAGAGGUCGAAGUGGUUCUGGAAACUUUGGUGGUGGUGGUGGUGGUAUUGGUGAAAAUGACAAUUUUGGUCAUAGAGGAAAUUUCGGUGGUGGUGGUGGCUUUGGUGGUAGCCAAAGAUGAUGGUGGUGGUGUUGGAUAUGGUGGCCGUGGGGAUGGCUACAAUGGAUUUGGUCAUGACCGAAGCAAUUUUAGAGGUGGUGGAAGCUACAAUGAUUUUGGCAAUUAAACAAUCAGUCAUCAAAUGUUGGACCCAUGGAGAGUGGAAAUUUUGGAGACAGACGCUCUGGACCUUUUGGUGGUGGAGACCAAUACUUCGCCAAACCACGAAACCAAGGUGACCAUGGCGCUCCCAGCAGCAGCAGUAGCUAUGGCAGUGGCAGAAGGUUUUAAUCCUGCCAGGAAACAAAGCCUAGCAGCAGAGGAGAGCCAGGAAGUGACAGGGAAGCUACAGGUUACAACAGAUUUGUGAACUCAGCCAAGCGCAGUGGUGGCUGGGCCAAGCUGCUACAAAGAAGACAUGGUUCAGACAAUACUCCUGGGUAUGGGCAAAAAGACUUGAGGACUGUAUUUGUGACUAAUUUAUAACAGGUUACUUCAGUUUCUGUUCCAUGGAAAGUAUAAAGCAUUCCAACAAAGGGCUUUAACAUAAAAAAAAAAUUUUGCACCCAUGCUGUUGAUUGCUAAAUGUAAUAUUUGAUCACAAUGCUGAAUAAAUGUGUCAUUCUUAGAAAUAAAAAACAAAUAACAGUCUCAUUUUUAAGUGCAUGGUUUGUGUUUAUAUUAUCAAACUUUUGAUUUUCAUGUCUUCUGUAUUCUUUCCAAUUUGUGUACUUUUAAUCUAAUAGUAAAUAAAGAUCUGUAACAUUAUUAUGAAUAAUUGUAAAGUUCUCAUUAUAACUUGACAUGUUUUGAUUUCUUAGUUUUUACAACAUAUUAUUUGUGGCUUACAAGUUCACAAUCAUAUCGUCUUUUUGUUUGCUUGUGACCAUGUCCUGAGUAUCUUUGUAUUGGGCAAGUAGCUGGAUGUUGAAUCAAAGGUAGAAAAGAAAAAAAAAAAAAGAAUUAGUUCUACACAAAAAGUUCAAAAAGCCUAUGUUCAUUGAAGAACAUUUCUACUAGUACCGGGGCUCUGCCUCAUUUCCAGGUUAUGGGCCACAGCUCAGAGACAUCAGCUUUCCACAGGUCUAAGGAGAUGGAAAACCUGUAAAGGAAAACACAACAACAACAACAACAACAAAAAAUAGAUUGUCUCCCACCAUACAUAAAGAAAAACUGAAUUUUUUAAAAAUAGCUAUUAUCUCUGAUAAUAGCCUAAUUUAAUAUUCAUACAAUUUUUACUUAUAUUUGAAAGCAAUCCAUGGAGUAGAUUUUCUUAUCUUUAUCUAAAUUCCCAAGGAAAACCAAUGGAUUUGCCAAAAAAAAAUCAUGGCCAAUUGUAAACUAAACAAACUUUUCAAAUAAUCCAUAAUUCAAUUAGUAAAGUUAAUUUAGAACUUUUAUGGCCAAAAAAAAAAUUUAUACUCAAAGUACAUUUUAAUAUCUUUAAUGUGAAGGAUGAAGGAAAAGCACAUGGGACCCUGAGAGUCCCAAGAUGGCUCAGGCUAAGCGGGGUCUUAGGGAUAUUUGAAGGAGAUGGACCUGGAGUUGAACCAAGGCUUCAGGGGAGGCUGAGGGCAUUUUGCACAGAGAUCACAGCAGCAGUACAGAGCUUAAACGCAUACUGAGCUUUAGAAGAUGGAGAGGAAUUAUUUGGGGGAGAAGAGUCGGGGCUGCAACCCUCCAGUCCUGAAGGUCUCGACGGCCUUGGCUGAAGGUUGAAAAUUCACUUUUUGAAAUGUGAGAAACAAAGAACGGCUCCAGAAUCUGCACAUGUCUCCCAGGGUCAUCCAUCACUAAAACUGAGCUCCAAGGUUUCUCUUCCCCAAGUGAAUUUGUUUUCAUUUCGGUCUGAGCCAUCUGGCUUCCAACAAGGCAUAGCCUAGUGAGAAAUAAAGAGGCCAGGAGGCCAGAAUAUGCCUCUGCUCCCAGAUCCCCUCCCUGCCUGGGCUUCCCCUGCAGCCCCUGCACAACCAUCCAUUAACACACAAUUAAUCCCCUGGCUUCUUCAAAGCCUGCUGGCCCCGCCUCUCCCACCCCACUGCAUUAAAUUCCUGCCAGUUAAGAGGCCAGAGAGGACAGGUGUGUUUCACACUCGGUUUCACUGCCAGCAAGGUGCCAGACGGGCAGCCCCAAAGACCACAGACUUCUUUGUUCAUUUAACAGCAUUGGUUAGUAGCCAGACAGUCUCUCAGCCUGUUGGUAGCGUCAGGUGCCACCGGGAAGGACAGGAGGCUUUUUUGCUCCUGCUAAUUCCUCUACUUCAAGGCUUGGCAUAUUGAGACCAGCCCCACCUGGGAAGGUGGCAUCCCAAGGCCACUGUGCGGCCCCAGGAAUCCAUUCAUUCUUUCGGUCAGUUGAAAACACCAUUCCCUGAGCCUGGAAGAGCCAGUCCCUCUGCCACUAGGAAGGAGAUUCAGUGUAGGUAAGAAAUGCCCUACCCUUGAGGGGAUUACAGUCUGGAAGAGGAGACACUAACAUAGUUUAAUGUAAUGCAGGAAUUAUAGCAAGAAAGACAUUUAUUUGCAGUUUAUCUACAUAUUGAUCGAUUGACACAAUUAUAAACUUAUACAAAAACUAACACUAUGCUUAUUAAAUAGCACUCCAAUAGUGGCAGGUUCUGUUCUAAACCCUGAACAAAUAUUAACUCAUUUAAUCCUUUAAACAAUUCCUAUUACCAUAAUCCCUAAUUUACAAAUGUAGAAAACAGAUUAAUGAAUAGUUUAAAAAACUUGCCCAAGUCAAGAAACCAGGAUUUGAAGCUGGACAGUUCAGCCCCCAAAUCCAUGAACUUGACUUUUUUUUUUUUAUGCUGAGAGGGUACUUGUCUGUUUGACGCAAAAAGUGAUUCCAAAAGUGGAAAUGGCAUGCCAAUCAAAAUGACACUCACAACAGAAGCUAUCAUCUGUUGAACAUCUAUUCUGUGCUGGGUUUUGUGCCAAGUAAUUUACAUAGGUUAUCUCAUUUCAUGCUAAUAAUUCUAUGAGGAACUGUUGUUAUUAAUGCAUUUUUAUAGAUCAGGAAUCAGGAAGGUGAGGCUUUGGUGAGAUCAGGAACUUGCCCUUAGCUAGAGCUUUAGGUAAGAGAACUGGGCUUAGAAUCAGGCAACCUGAAUCCAGAAUCCAGUCUAGCAUGCAGACUGGAUUGGGGACCCCUCAAAUGUCACACUAUACAGGAAGAGUGUGAUCAUCAUGCAUCAAAAGUAAAGCAAGGCCCCCCACUUAGGGCUGCCCUGCUUACAGGGACAGGACAGGUGCUGAGUGUCCUGGCUCUGACCAAGCUGGGCUCACUUGGUGAGCUUAGGGGACGAGCUGCCCUUUUGUUCCAGUCUGCCUUUAAAGGGGCUUCAUUUGUGUGUGUGUGUGGGGGGGGGUGUUUUGCUGGAGAUUAAACAGGGCUUUGUGCAUGCAAGGCAAGCAUUCUACCAACUGAGCUACAUCCCCAAUCCCUAAAACAGUUCCAUUUUCUAAUUCACACAGACCUUGUAUGCCUUGCCCCUGGGCUGGGUGCAGAAGUAGCUUUGAUUGUGACAGCAGGAUAUUACCAAAAGCUGGUCUAGGGAGUGGACACUAAAACCUGGUUCCUGACAACUUCUCUUGCCUUACUUGACCCCCUCCACCUAGACAGCUAAUCCCAGCUUCAUUACGGGGUUCAUCUUGCAGAACAAGGGCAACCCAAACCAGAAGGAAUGGCUGGGCACCGGGAAGGGAGACUUUGGGCUGCCCUCUGCACACAUCUGAGGAAGCAGCACUCUGGGGAGGAUAUAUGAAAGUCCUCUGGAUAAGGCGGGAGGGACGGGCUUGGAAAAUGUAAAGGAGACAAGGCUCUUGGGGGUGGCAAUGAAGUCUCCCCUAGAAGCUUUGAGGUUGUGCGACCAAAACACUGGCUAUAAAAACAGCAAGUAUAGAAGAAGAAUAGUUCCCAAUUCUCUCAGACCCUAAAUCAGCUUUUAAUACAAAUAUCACCUAACUCCUUUAGUAUCUUGAAAUAAAGUACAUGACUAACAAAACCACCCCCGUACAUAAUUUUAAGAAAAUCAAUAUAAUAGCCUAACUGUAGUAGAAAAGAGAGGAAUAAAAUUUAUAAUAAAGUGUGUUUCAGCUACAAAUUCUUAGGCACGAGCACACGCAGAAGCAAUGAAACAGUCAGAUGCUAGGACUUUUUUGCAGACUCACCGAGAUCGCCUGCUCCCCAGUGCAGAGGUUCAGCGGGGUGGUGCGGGAGGAUCCAAUAGUGGGAGGGGUGUGGCCAUCAAGAUGGAAUCUUCCAAAAUGGUAAACAACUCUUGUGAAAAUUCCCUAAGUGCAAUCAUUCCUUGCUUUAUAUGGAUGCCACCUUCCAGGAACAGUUAACAUACAUUAAAAUGAUGCAAAGGGCACUCUGGGUUAUCCAGGCCCCAUGGCACAUGUUGGUAAUCCCAGCCACUCAGGGAGGCUAAGGCAGGGGUAAGGCAAAUUCAAGGCCAGCCUGGGCAAUGUAGAUCCUGUCUCGAAAUUAGAAGGACUAGGGAUGUGGCUUAGUGGCAGAGUGCCCCUGGGUUCAAUCAUGAAUUCCAAAAAAGGGUGGGAGGACCCAGGAAGCCAGAGAGGAACUGUGCCCUGCACACCCCAUCUGGGCACAGGGGCAUGACUGCUGAAUGGCGGGCUGAGCUCUGCUGGCUGAAUAGGCCUGUCAUGCCACCUCCGGGCCUCUGCUCCCAGCAGAUAAUAAGCUGGUCACAGGUAUUUUUAAGCAGUUACUUUAAAAGACAGUGUUGUGUGACCGUGACCUGGGAAGGCUGCAUAAACCCGAGCAUGUAGGAAUCUUGAGAUAAGCUUUCCAUUUUACUGAGCACUGCUCAAGCACUUCCUAGAAUAUUGUGUUUGAGCCCUGUAAUUAAAGAGGGAAGAGGAGGCCUGAGAGAGGUUCUGAGAAGAAUUGUGAGGAUAUUAAAGGGUUGGAAACAAUAAAGCUUAUGAGAGAGAGAGAAAAAAAAAAGGUUAAAAGAACUGGGAUUAUUUAUACUGAAGGACAGAAGGUCAAGGAGCAGAAUAACAAUAAUCCUCAAAUACAUUCAUUCUGGUGUCGGGGAACAUGGCUAAUUCCUCCCUGAUGAAAUAUCCAUUUGGGACCUGGCUGCUCUUGCUGUAUGGACUUGUUAGCAAAUGACACAGAUUUCAGCAAAAUGAAAGUCCAAUUUCCAGCCGUCACAGUCCUCCUGACUGGGCCACAUUUUGGCCAUGCCCCUUUUGCCGGGCCAUAGGGAUUCAGGACAAGCAUAAAGUUUGGGAGGGGGCGCCAAUCGUUCUACACCCUGUAAAAUCAGUGAAUGAUUUUGUGUGAGCCUCAAGAAUAUUCCCCCACCAGGUUUAUUUAUCUGCUAAACAAAAGUUGAUUAUUUUUCCCAUUGUAAAAGUAACACAGGCUUCAUAAGGAAACCUGUUGCUUUCUAGAUAAAAACAAAUACAGGCCUUCAAUCAGGAGAGAAUUCUACAUAUGUGCACACAUGUGCGUGCAUGAGGGGGUGGAGGAUGGGGCACCAUCUAGGAUAUUAAAGCCAGGCUUUAUAACAAAGCCCAGGUUUAUAGGCAGAGUUUUCUACUCUUCACCUGGUGCACCCUGCAGAGUUGUCCUCCUUCCUCCCCCCUCGAGCCCUUGGGAGGAGGGAAGCCUGCGAGCUCCUGUAUAGCCAGGGCUUCAUCAUCCAGGUGGGUAGCAAAGGGAGGAUCUCAGGAUGGGAGGCCACCAGCCAUCCCUUCCCACAUCUCCGUCCCAGGACUCCCACCAUGCCCAACCUUAGAGAACCUGGAAUCCAGUCUAUAAAAAAAGCAGACAAAUAUCAAAGCUGAUAAAACCUUCCUCAGUCCACUAUGAAAAAGCCUCCAUAAGUGUUCUCUAAGUGGGAUCCAUGCAAUUCAAUAGCAGGCUAGAGUAGAUGCCCUGAGGGGCUACUAGCUAAAUUAAAUGAUAUGAAUGCUGCUAAAUUUUCCCAAAAGAUUCCCCCUAGUCCAAUCUCUUUGAUGACAAACAGGUCCUGAUUUGGAGACCCUUUUCUUCAGCUCUUACAUUUUUUUUUUAUUCCUCCUCUUUAUCCUGCUAGAUUCCAGGUUCAGAUCCUGUCAUUGUCCUGCCUUUCUGUAUUGAUUAUUGAUCUUUUGUUAGAUGCCAAGUGAUACAGGCACCGUGAGGGAUAAAUUCCUAGUUAACACACCUUUAAAGUAUCCAUCUUUUUUUUUUCAAUUAAAACUUUUUGGAGAAAUUUAGGAAGAACCAGCCAUCAUCUCCAAGAUCACUGAACCACUCUAAGUAUUAUUUUAGGUUCCUACAGAAAACCUGACUCAUGACCCUGUUUAGCUAAGCAUGCCCAGAAGCAUUUGUGCUGGCUGUCUUUCCGGGUUCUUCAGUCAUUUUAACCUCUUACUGGGUGCUCUGUGACCUUGAGUAGAGCAUGCCCAGGAAUGUCAUUUUCCAUCUUUUUUCCUGAAUGGUGAUCCUGAACUGAGCUUGCUCAGAAAUUAUAUCCCAAAUUGAGCAUGCUCAGGAAGACACAUACCCUUAAAAUGAAUAUGUAUAGGUUCCCAGGAUAAAAAUCUGCAUGCUUCCUUUGUUGGGGAGAGCACUGAUUUGCAGAUAACCCCAGUGAUGGCCUUGUGGUGCUGUUUGUAAUAAAUCUUUCUCCGUUCUUUUACAUCCUGGUCAUGCUCAUUGGCUUUGCACUCACCAAGAAGUGAACCUUUAUGCUGAGACACUUCCUGCCCUAUCUCUGUAAUUCCCUUAUGGAUGCCUUAGGAUGCCUAGCCUUAUGGCUUUUCCAAGGGCAUGCUUCCUCCAAGUUCCUGCCAAUGAGUUGAACUAUUAUUAGCUUCCAAACUUCUAUUUUUGUUGUCUUGAAAUUUAGGACAUAAGAAAGCAGUAACAAGCAUGCUAAAGUAUCAGGACCAUGGCAUCUGCCCACAGGGGUUGUCACAAGCAAUAAAUGCCUACUUUGCUGACACCAUGAAUAGUCUGAACAAAAAUUCAUAAACCUAAGGUCAUUUGCACACUUUUGAUGAUCUUUCUUUGAUGACUUGAAUAUGGCAUAGUGUUUUCCAUGCCUAUCUAGAUAGGCAGGCAUGAAAGAUGGUGGGUUAUUUUUAAAUUUAUCUAAUACAUGUGAUUUACAGACUGUUACAGAUGUGGAACUCAACUCCUUGCCUUCUGUCAUUGCCUGAGAACAUUAGCCAAACUAUCCCAAUGUGAACACGAGGAUUAGGAGCUUGGCUAAAAUACGUGUUCCCACUGCCCAACAUUCACGACCUGGACUUGGGAAUCCCUGUUUUUUCAGAAUUGUAGUCUUGCUCUUUGUAUGUAAUAACCCCCAUUAUUUGUAUGUCCUCUCACAUCUUAUUGGUGGCUUUAUUACUUUGGUCAAAUUCAUUGCAUUUCAGCACUAUCAAAGACCUUUUUAGAAAAAAAAUCGAGGUGAAAUUCUCAUUAAAUCAACUAUCUUAAAGAGAGCAAUUCAAUGGCAUUUAUGACAUUCACAAUAUUAUGUCUAUAUCUAAUUCCAAAAUAUUUUCAUUAUCCUGCAAAUACCCUGUUUUGGUUUGGAUUUGAGAUGUCCCCCCCAGAGCUCCUGUGUUAAUGCAGUAACGUUCAGACGUGAAAUGGUUGGACUGUGACAGGUGUAAUCUGUCAGUCCAACCUAAUCAACGGACUUGGUGGUAACCAUGGGCAGGCAGAGCAUGGCCGGAAGAGUCCCCUUCCCUAUUCCCCUGUCUGCUUCCUGACAGAGUGAAGGGAGUGGCACUCUGCCAUCAGGCCCUUCGGGGAUGAUGUGCUGCCUCACCUUGGGCCCAGAGCAAUGAACUUGGCCAGCCAUGGACUAUCCCUCUGAAUGUGAGCCAAAAUAAACAUUACAUCCUCUAAGUUGUUCUGGUCAGGUAUUUUGGUCACAGCAAUGAAAAGCUGACUAACACAAACUCUAUGCCCAAUAAGUAGUUACUGCUCUUAUCUCUUCUCCAACUCCUGGCAACCAUUAAUCCUGAUUUCUCUCUUCAUGUAUUUGCUUUUUUGUGAUACAUUACAUAAAAGGAAUUAUAUGAAAUGUGAUCUUUGGUGCCUUUCACUUAGUAUAACUUUUUGAAGUUUAUCUCUGUUGUAGCUGUAUCAUCAGUACUUCAUUCCUUUUUAUGGCUGAGUGAUGUUCCAUGGUAUACAAAUACCACAAUUUAUCCAUUAAUUCUUUGAUGGACAUUUGCCUCAAGGAGAAUGCAAAUAAAUGAAAUUGGCUAACUAAAGUACAAUAGGGGAUGAUGAGUACGGUGGCAAAAUAGGAAUCACAUACCACUAAAAGUAGGAUGGGGUGAAGAGGCCAGAAGCAAUUCAGCUGAAGUUGAUGGUUUCCUACAGGGAAUUCUAGUUUUUUGAGUUUCCAAGAAAUUCAAAUGUUCAAACUUUAUGUAAAGUCUUUUAAGACUUUUGGUUAAUUCAUGUUUAAUCACUCUGCAAGCCAAACUAAAUAGAUCUACUCAUCAUAUUUAACUGUCUGGAUACCAGCCUGCAAAGUCUGCUUAGCUAUUUGGAAUUUAGCACUUUGAGUUCCAUCUUUCCACAAAGAUUGUUAGAGUUCUCCCUUCAUGUCCUCUGACUUCUGAGAAAGACAAAAUUGGUCAGAAAGAAAUGAUGGAAUGGGAUCCCUUCAGUUGUUAUGGACUACCUGGAGCAGUUGUUUCUAAUGUGACCAUCCAAUUGGAUGCUGCAUUUUGAUGGAAUGUUUGAUCACAGAGAUUGAUGCUAACUAUGAAUCCAUAAGUUAUUAGUAAUGGGAUCAAGAGGAACUAUUCUAUCCUAGUUAUAAAUCUAGUCUUUUCAUUGUGUAGCUGGACAAAAUAUUGCACACUUUAUAAGAUGGCAUUUUAUUUUGAUUGAAAAAAGUAAUACAUAAUGCUCAUUUGAGAAAAUGUGAAAAAAUACAAAAAAGAUUAAGAGUACAAUAAUCACUCAUAAUCCCUCAGCUAGAGAUACUUCCAGGCUUGUUUUCUGGACAUAGAUUAAUUUUUAUAGAUAGAUGUCAUCUCAAAGCAAUUUAAAGUUUUAAAAGAAUUUGGUAGUAUGAAUGUAGACUCCAAUUGUAGAAUUUCAAUUCUGUCUGCUUCAAAAUCAUUUAAAGUGAUUUUCAUGUUUUCAAAUUAGGAUAGUAUAAGCAUUUUUAAAUUGCUCAGAGCAGCUUUUUUCCUGUCUUUUUCUUUGCUCCCAGUUUUUUAACAUUGCUUCUAGCAUUAACUUUUCCACAUGUAUAUUAGAAUAUUAAUAAUAUAUAUUAUUAACUAAAAACUAUAUAUAUGUUAUAUAUUAUGCAUGUUUGGUUAAUGUAUAAUAUAUAUUAAUGUAUAUGUUUAAUUAAAAUCAAUUUUGUGAGAAUCUUUUGAGACUCUCUUGACAGUCAUUGUUCUGCUUUCAAAGUAACUUAGGAAGCAUCCAGGACUUGCUGAUCCUCCCGUGGGGUGUAAUAAAAACUGUGAAGGAAGUUUUUUCCCCAGUGUGCAAGCCAGCUCUACCCAGAACAAGGAGUUUUGUGGAACCAUGCUAUUCCUAUCAGGCCACAUGAGUAUUAUGAACAUCGACAAAACAAAAGCAAUUUAUUCCAUAAGACCUUAGCCCCCUAGGGCUCCAUACGGCCUAGUAGUAAGUGCUAUUUUGAUUUCUCUCAUCCAUUCUCCUCCUUUCUUCUUCUGAACAAGACCCCAGUUUUUGGAUCGAUUAUGUAAUUAAUGCUAUUUCUUCCAUGUCAAUCUCCUGUUGACUAUUAUUGACCCAGGGAGGGUAUGAAACCUAUGGUGUUCCAAUCGGAUGCAAGGGAAGAUUUUAUUCCAUGCCUGGUGAGUUUUCUCUCACCCUUGCUGAACUCAAACAAUGGAACAAGUUAACUCAAACUGCCAUUAGCAAACGCAUUGCAACAGAACCAAUUUACCUUAGGCUAACCUGAAGCUGUAGCCGUUAGAAGCAGUAGGUACAGGGCCUGGAUCUUUCUGUUACUAAGGAGACACAACAUACUGCUUCUGAGACCUGUCCCACUAUGGACUCCUAGUCAUGCAAGAGAAUCCCUUCCCUUAUUGCUUUAGCCAGUUUGGAUCAGUUCUAUACUUGCAGCCCAAAGCAUCUUAACUGGCACAAACUCUACACACAAAAAAAAUUUCUCUCCAAGCUCCUUUAAGCUAUAACUCAUCUACAUUAUUCAUAAUUUAAACUAACAAGAACAGUUCUACAUUUUGGGUAUUGGUAUAAAAAAAAGGCAAGUGAGCUGAACAGGAGCAUAAUAAGAAUUUUGUUUUGAGAAAUUCAACACCUACUGAGUGUAUGUCAUUUACAGCUUAAUAAACCUGAGAAUAAGUUUUAAAAUAACACCACCAAUAAAGUGUCAGUGUAUCAGGUAGGAUAGUGUUUAACUGCUCAAUAACGGUAUCAAAGAGUUAGACUCUUUCUCUUGAAGGUUUUCUGUGUUUCGUAUGCUUGAUUCAGUGUCUGGAGCAGGAGCAGGUCUACACUCCCAAGAGCAAGAGGAAAGGAACAAAUAAAGACUGUUAAGUGAGGGGAAGUGUAGAUAAGAGAGGGUAUCAAUCAUGUUCAGUUUUCUUGACUCAAGUUGCUUAAAUCUUCUAGGCAGAUCUAGGCAGAUGUGUCCAGUAACAUUGAAUAUCGUUGCGUUAGGACCUUUCUUGCUGUCACUCAAAGAUCUCACAUUACAUAGUAAGAAAGUAAGGAAAUAACACACUUAAAGGAAAAAUGGGUUAAAAUCAUGGAAUCUCAGAAAAUUGCCUCAAUGUUUUUGUUACUUAUUGAAGAGUUAAUGAAUACACCAAGAUUAGAAUUACUUAAAAUCCUGGAAACUUUCUUUAGCAAAGUUGCAAUUAAUUCAUGACAAUUAAUUCAUGACUGGUCCAGUGCUUCUUUCACUAUUUCAAAGGUCCAAAUUUUUUUUUCUCUCUCUUUUUUUAAAAUCUCAGUAUGUGUGUGUGUAUAUCUGUGUGUGUGUGUGUGUGUGUGUGUGUUGCUGGGGAUUGAACUCAGGGCCUAGAGCAUGCUAGGCAAGGGCUCUACCACCAAGCUACAUCCCCAGCUUUCACCCCUCUUUAUUCUUUUACUAAUUUUUGUUGAGACAGAUUCCUGCUAAGUUGCCCAGGCUGACCUAGAACUUACAAUCUUCCUGCCUCAGCCUCCUGAGUAGCUGAAAUAACAGGAAUGCACCACCAUGUCUGGCUUCUAACCUUCUAUUGAUGAGAUUAAUGUCUUCUGUAGAUUUAGGUGACUCUCUAAAAUACAGCACAGAUGAAAUCUCAUUUAUUUGGAUUAAUUAUACAAAUUAAGAAUCAAUCCUUAAGCCACAACAUGAACAAAUCACAUAAUACUGAGAGAUGUCCAAUACCAGAAGAGUACAUACUAUAUAAAUCCUAUCAUAAGUCCAAGAACAGACAAAACUAAUUGAUGAAUCAGAACAGUUGGUGAGGCAGAUUGACUACCAAAGGACAAAGGACCUUCUGGGGAGAUGGAAUAUUCUGUGCUUUACUCUGGGUGGAGCUUAUUUUGGUAUGUACAAGCAGCCCAAAAUCAUCAAACUAAACACUCAACAUCUCUCCAAUUAUAUUUAUGGUAUAUCAAUAAAAACACUAAAAAAUAAAGAAUAUAUUUUUAUCCCAAGUAGCCAUGAAGAGAUGAUAAAAAUCAUGGCACAUCCAGACACUGAAAUAUAGCACAGCUUUAACAAAAAAAGAUUGUUGCAGACCUGUCUGAAAUAAAUUAUUUUAAAAAUAAGAUUUUAAGUUUAAAGAGUAAAUUAGGGAAUAGUAUUUAGUAUCUGAUGUUACUUGUGUUAACACACACACACACACAUACACACGCAAUAAAAAAAAAACAUCAGAUAUGGUGAUACAUGCCUAUAACCCAGUAACUUGGGAGGCUGAGGCAGGAGGAUUGCAGAUUUGAAGCCAGCUUGAGCAACUUAGCAAAGCCCUGUCUUAAAAUAUGAAACAAAAGUGGCUGGGGAUAUAGCUCAGUGAUAAAGUGCCUCUCAGUACAAUCCCCUGUAUGACAAAAAACAAAAAAAUGAAUUGGGAUAAACACACUAAGACGUGUGUUUUUUCUUGUACAGAUCUACUCUAGGCAGUACAAGAUGCUGGUAAUGGGACAGAAGUAGGAGGGUCAAAGAGGGAUAGGUGGGGUGAAAGCAUGGAGAGAAGCCAAUUUUGUUCACUGAUACUUUUUUCUAAAGAAAACCAACACUAAUUUAUUAUUUUGGAGUACAGUUAAGUUAUAAGUACAAGUGCCUGAUUUACCAAUACAGACCAAGGUUGGAUAUUGUAAUAAUCCACGGAUACUGUUAGCCAGAUACAAGACGGAUACAGGGGAUCUGUCUAUAGAAUUGGGUCCAUAUCAACCCUGCCAUGGUAUAUUUGAUUAGCACUGUGUCCAACACUGUUAGUCCUAAUGCCAGGAAGUGAGUCCUCACCAUUUGCCAGGUGGUAGAAAUAUCAUUUCAGAUAAAAGUUACUGGCCUCCUUCUAACUCUGGCUUAGUACUUAGAAGAAUCUAGAACCUUGGAAUACUGGUCGGCAAAGCAGCUGGAAGAAAGGAAGAGCCACUGUGUGUGAACAAACUGGUCUUAGAUAAGAGCCUUGUGUGGGUUUGAGGCUCUUGUUUGUUUUAUUGACAGCUGCAUGUAUUUGGUAAAGGCUGGCCUUUCUUCAUAAAUCCUCUUCAUUCUGGAGGAAAAGGUCUUUUUCAUCUCAAAAACAACUCUAAAACUAAGGAAAGCAACCAGUUGGGACAACUACCAAUUAGAAAACUUUGGGNCACCUCUCCCCUCCCCUCCCCUCCUCUCUCUCUACCCCCUCCACUGUAUAACCCUGAGGGUCUCCUUCCAUUUCCAUGCAAUUUCCCUUCUCUCUCCCUUUCCCUCCCACCUCUCAUCCCUGUUAAAUGUUAAUCUUUUUCUCCUGCUCUUCGUCCCUACUCUGAUCUUAGUUACUCUCCUUAUAUCAAAGAAGACAUUUGGCAUUUGUUUUUUAGGGAUUGGCUAGCUUCACUUAGCAUAAUCUGCUUAAACUCUCACAGUGUGCUUCCAUAUAUGCUGCCUAUUUAAACAAAUUCAUUCAAUUAAAAAGAAUGAAAAUACAGAGCAAGGAAUUAAGAAGUAAAAAUUAUUUGUAAUAAUUUAGGUGGUCCAGACACUAACAGAGUGAACUUUAUCCACCUGCUCUGCCAAUCAACCUCUUCCGGACAGGUACACCACCUGUUCACCCACACCUCUCUGGUGGCACUGCCCAGAUCCUCCUAGAUCUGGAUAAACUUUAGUAUGUACAUGGUUUAUCUUCCUGGGUAGACUGUCAGUGAUUUUGAGACUAGGCAUCUGGCUUUUUUUUUUUAAGUCUAUCCCCCACAAAUAAUUGGUAGCUGGAUAAAUAUUUGAUCAUGAAAGUAAGUACACAGAGUGAAGGUUCUGUUUAUUUUAAUACUUAAGAUAACUGCUAAUUAUCUUGUGAGACAAUGAUGACCCCAAACAUGUUCCAAACACUGAUUUUUUUAAAAAAUAUUUUUUCACUCUAUUUCAAUAGUAUAUCCAUAUGACUCACUUAAAAAUAUAGUGUCUCUAAUAUUUGUAAGUAAAAUAAGCAAAAAUAACCCCAUUUUAAGUAUUCCGAGUUGCAUUAACCAACUUUUCAUUGCUGUGACAAAAACACCUCACAAAAACAACUUAGAGGAGGAAAAAAAUUCAUUCUGGCUCAUGGUUUCGGAGGUCCCAGCUCAUAGUGAGCAAACCCCAAUGCUCUGGGCCCAAGGUGAGACCGAACAUCAUGGCAGAAACCUUCUCAGCUCAAGGCAACAAGGAAACUGAGAAGGAGAAUGAGAAGGAGGGGGAGUGGGAGGGGCCAAGGACAGAGAUCUCCCAAGGCCAUGCCCCCACGGACCUACUUCCUCCAGCCAGGCCCCACCUGCCCAGACUACCACCCAGCAGUCUUAUUCAAAUUAUCAGCCCAUUAAACGAAUUAAUCCACCAAUGAAGUUACAGCUCUCAUAAUCCAAUCAUUUCACCUCUGAGCAUUCUUGCAUUGCCUAACUCGUAGGCUGUUUGGGAGACCUUUCUAAAUUCAAACAAUAACACAGAUUCCUUAUUUAAAACAAUGUGUCUCACUGGGUCUUUUUUUUUUUUUUAAAAACUGUUGUCAUACUUUCAUCAGCAACAGUGCAAUUCUUUUGUGAUAAGAAUAAUCAUGGCAUAAUUAACCUAUUUUCUAAUUCAAAAGUAUUGUAUCAUGUAUUUUCUAAGGGAAGCCUCAACUCUUUUUGGAUUAACACCAAAUGACUUUUUUUUUCUAGGUCAUACACUUAAAUCCUAACUUACUUUCCCUUUUUAUUUUUAUUAUUGGAUGAAGGUGAGUCAAUUAUUAAAGGAGAAAGGAGAUGGGAUUAUAAAAGACAAAGGCAUAAUCCUAGAAUAUUGGAAAAAAUGAGCUUUACAUAACGAUAAAAAGAGAAAAGACUGUCCCUGGGAGAAAAGAGGUCAUUUACCCAGAAAGUGCAGGAAGGCCAGUGGGCUGGGAGGCUGUGGAGGGAGGCAAGUUAAGAACAGAGCUCAGCAAGUUCUGAAAUCUCCAGAGGGUUGAAAUAAGAAGAAUCGGAGGAGCUGUUUGUGGGUCAGGCUGGCUCAGGACUGGCUGCACAUUUCCAAAUAUUGAAGGGAAUCCUGAAUUUCAGUUCAUUCUUCCCCUCACCCAGGACACAUCUUUGCCCUGUAGAUGACAGGGGUCCAUGGAGGUAGAGAUCCACAUUUGCAAUUGUCUCUUGCCCAGAACAAACUCGAUGCCCCUUUGAAGUUCACCACUGAAGAGUGGGCUCCGGGAUGACUUUGGUUUGGUUUCCAAGCGGGGAGGGCAGGGUGGGCUUUCUGUUUGUUUGUUUCUUGCUUUCUUGAUUGUUUACUGUACUUGUGCAUUGAAAACUCAGCCGGAAGCCCCUAGCUCUGUGUCUGUAUCUGCUCAUAAGAAGGUAGCUUCCCUGCAUGGCUCCUGUCUCCAUCUGCAAAACUGGCUGGCCCCUACCUCCAUCUUGCUCCCAGGAUUGGGGUGGGGGAGUAGCCACUAAUCAUUUCUUGUCUCUCUCUUCUCGCAUGGGCAGGGAUGCUUGUAUGUUUUGUUCACGGCUUCACGUGUCCCUAACUCUUGGGACAGCGUUACUUGGCACACAGUAGGCACUGAAUAAAUAGUCGAAUAACUGAAUGAAUUGUUUGUGAGCCUAUCUUGUUUUCUAGUAGGGAGGGCAGGACUUAGUAGAGACAGGAGGGUGGCAAGCACUGUGCUAGGCUCUUUGCAUAAGACAGCUCACUGUUGAGAAGUGACUUCAGUCAAUUUGGUCAUUCCACAGUUACUGGUUGUCCUAGGAUAUAUGAGUCACCUCUGGCUAUUAAGAUGGAUAAAAGCCAUAACUUCCCCUUUCUUCCAACCUCCCCUGUUAAAAACCAUCUACCACCUAGUAAGGUGCCUUGUUAGAAAGCAUUCCUGGAUCAACUUCUUCAAGUAUAAACAUUCAUUAGCAGGUGGGCACAAACACCAGUCAUCCUGUCUAUUCUUUUAAGCUCAGCAAAGCCCGCUGCUUUUCCCUAUGCCUUCUGGUCCCACCUUGUGUGAGAAAGUUGCUUGGAGGUUUUCUCUGACAUUCUGAUUGCAGAUCAGUCCAUGUUCAGAAUGCAUCCUGGGGACAGAGUCUGUGAACCAUGAGGCCCACACAAGACUAUACAGCUCAGGAUAGUGUGGUAGUUCUGAAGGUACCAGAUUCUUACCCCUUCCGGCAGGGGCAGGGCCUGCCAAAACUUCUAGCCAAUGACAUAUCUUAAAUAACACUAAAUGUGAUUAGUGGAAAAACUCGUGUCAUAUCCCUAUUAAUGAAAAGUCCUGGUGUGUAUUUAUUAAUGAUCUCUGAAUAGCCACUUCUGAGUGUGGAUUCCUAAUGAGGUUCUUAAAAUACUGUUACAGUUUAGAUCUGCAAUGUCCUCCAAAGGUUCACGUGUCAGAGGCUUGGUCCCUAGCUGGUGGUGCUAUUGGGAAGCGGGGCUAGCUGCAUGUGACUUGGGGUUUGAUUUUGAAGAGUAUAUUUUCUCCCUGGCCCCUCUCACUGUCUCCUUUUGCUUCCUGACUGCCAUGAGGUAAACAGUUCUCUUCUGCCACACCUUUUAACUAAGAUGGACUGCCUUGCUCCAGGCCCCAGGCCACAUGACCGCAGACUGAAAUCUCUGAAACCCUGAGCCCAAAUGACCCUUUCCUCCUUUAUGUUGUUUAUCACAGGUAAAUUGUCACAGUAAUGAAAAGCUGACAAACACGAAUACUAAAUAAUCACCUUCUUUGUCUUACUCUCUCCCCUCAUUAUAGGACAAAGUUAAUUCAUACAUACACAUAGGUUUAUUUGGAAAGACAGUAGAUUACGUCAUGUACCUGUUCAGUCUCAGCGCCUUUCUGGAAUGAAAGGAGAAAGAGGAAAUUCCUCUAAGGCACUUAUGUUCAGUGUUAUUCAAGAAGCAGUUCGUUCCCUUGACCUUUGCAGCAACUCCACUGUUAUUAUCCUGAUUUUACAGAGGAGGAAGCUACAGCCAGAGAAGUGGAGUAGCACGUUGAAGGUCAUGCUGUUGCUAUAUGGCCAGGACCGACAUCCAAACCUGCUACUGGGAGCAAGAUGGAGGUAGAGUCCUUGCUCUAAACCACUACAUUCUCUUACAUUCCCUUCCAAAACAAUAGAAUUAUUGGAAUAUUUCAGUUAUGCAGGGCUCACAACCCUUCUUUAUCUUACUUGUGAUUCAAAGGCAAGGUCUCAUGUCCAGGGAGGCAAAUGUGUCAGCUGACAGUCACCAUGGAAGUUCAAGGCACCGAGCCACAGUUUGAACUGUACAUUGCUGCCAAUUCAGAAAUCAUGACUCUUUUCCUAGAUUUCAUACCUUUGUUUUAUUCCAAGUGGAAAUUUGAUUUUUGAACCUCAGAGGAAGAAGUAACAUUCUUAUGUUCUUUCACCAUGUUUCAAAAUAGAAACAUAUCAUUCAAGGCUUCAUGGAAAGCUAAAUUUAGCAUCUAAAAUGUUAAUAUUUGGUAUAUUUGGAAAGUAACAACUAACUUGGAGACAGUUUUCUACUCUUUCAGGAUGAAAUUAGCUUUACCAGGAAACGUGACUAAGAUUCAAGUGAGUCAGUCCUGGUGAGGAGAUAAGAACGUGGGCUUGGGAUUCACCAGGCCUCUGCUGGAGACCCAGCUCUACCGUUAGAUGUGUGUCUUCAUGUGAGCUGUUCUCACUCCAAGCCUCAGUGCUUCAUUGGUGACAUAGGAAUGGUGUGAAUAACGUGUGCAUAGCUUACAGUAUUAUAUACAUAGCAGUAAUUAUUAGAAUGCUAAUUAUUCCAGGACAAUUUGCAUUUGUCCAAGGUUCCCAAGGACAAAUAGCCCCAAUGGUACCCAAAAAAAGAUUUCCCUGACUUUUCAAAUUGCCCUUCCCAGAAAACUCCUCAGAGUUCCUCUUAGAGCAUAGACAUAUUUUGAGAACUCUGCUUAUUGGAAUAUAAUCACUCAGCUUAGCUGGAUUGGAAGCUGCUUUAUGUUCCAGACAAGUUCUAUGAAACUUACUUUAUGUAAUCAGAAGUCAAAGUCAGGCUCUUCUCUCGGGCUGCCUCUGCCAUCUCAUGUGAUGAUGUCAUUUUAAAUAGCUAAGGGGCUACUUUGUGCAUGUCAGAGGUAGACUUCUGGUUCAGGAGGCAGAACUAGACACAGCAGGUAAAAAUUUUUCAGGGAAAUCGUGACCUCUCUGUCACUGGGGAAGCAUUCAAGGAAACUUAGUGAUAAGGCCAGGAGGGGUGGAGAAGGCAUUAGUUUUUUAGGUGAAAAAAAAAAUUGGGCUGGAUAAUAAUUAUGACGUUAAUAAUAGUGAUAACAAUUGGGGCUUCCAUUUAUUGUGCUAGAUGUUUUACAUAUUUUAGUUUAUUGAAUCUUCACAGAAAGUUUUCUGAUCUUCUAGUAUGAUUCCUUUACACACUACUAAACAAAGCUCAGAAAGGUUAAAUAGUUGAGCAGAUCUCACACAGCUCUAAUGAUCAACAUUAAGGUUUGGAUCCAUUGUAGCAGAUGCUAUAAUGCUAUCCCCCCAAAAUGAUCCAGUUCCAUGAUUUUCCACCUUUUAAAUGGUUUUAAUAGACCCCUAAUAUUAAAUAAAAAUUUACCCUAUGAACCAAUUUGUAAAUUGUUAAAAUUAUUAUAUUAAUAAACAUUUAUUUUAUAAUUUCAAAUAAUAUUUACUUGUUACAAAGUAAAUAUUUUUUUCAGGUUUCAAUGUAAGAAAGAGACUGCCUGUCAAAGAUAAAAAUGAUAGCUGCAGUUAUGAAUGACAGAUGUCAUCUAAUAUCAGCCUCAGUGUCCAAAUUACAUGUUUUAGCCUGUUUUGGUUCACAGGAUUGCCAAUUGCCAAUGCUACGGGGUUUUCACUCUCUUCUUUGAUAUCUCUGGACACUGUUCAGUUGGACAAACUCAGAAGCUGGAGAGAUCAGCAGGACAUUGUGUUUGAAUCAUUAACAAUAUCUAACAACCACAUGCCUGCCUUAUCAGAAUACAGAAGUCAGACUAGAAAUGCCCAAAGCUUGCAGAAGCUGCUAGAAUAAUCUAUGAUAUGAUAUUAUCAUAACAUGGCAGUUACUCUCCAACAAAUUCUCUGAAAGGCACUGGAAUGUGCUGGUGAGAAGGGUAAGUUGGACAUGUAGAAGCUCGGCUCCACUGAUUGCUAGCACAUUGACCCUAAGUCAAGUUCCUAACCUUUCCAGUCUUCGUAUUCUACUUUUUAAAAUGAGUAUGGUCAUGAGCAAUUACCAAGUUCUUUGGGAUAGGUAGAGGUAACUCUGAUAGGUAGAAGCAGGUCUCUCCCACGGCAUUCUGGAAGUUUGUACAAUGACCAAGUUCUACAAGCCCUUGUUAGACAGUCAUUUAGUCUCAUUUUAUGGAAGCUCAGUGGAUUGCUAGGUUUCUGCCCUUUUCAUACUUUGAAUGUACUUUGCACAGAAGUUUCACUUCAGGCAGGUGCAGCAAUAGUUGUGAACAGAAUUCAGCUAGCCUUUUAAUUGGUCAGGUGACAAAAUCCUCCAUUAAGUGUCUUACAUCUGGAAGUCACUAGAGUCUUAAGCAUAGGUUGCCAUUUGAAGGGUUCAGGCUAUUGAGCUGGCUUGAUUCUCAUUUCCUACAUUUUCCAGGCCAAGAAUGAAUAUUUAGUAUUUCUAGUCAAUUCAUUCCUUGUUGAAUACUAUUCAUUUUUGCAGUGAAAUUGUUUUUUACAUCCAUGAAGCUAAUUAGAAUAACUUCUGGUGUUGAUCAGAAAUAUAGACAGUGGAGUUUGAGUUGUGAGUUAGAGUCUCUUUAAAAUGCUAACUGACCCCCUUGGUUGUAUAUUUUCAUUUAAGGAGUUAUAAAUGUCUACUACCAACCCCUGGGAUAGAGGUUAAAGUUAACACACAUGUCACUGAAGUAUUUAAAAGUGAAUUACAGAUAAAAUGGAUAAACUACCCCCCACAGGAAUGUUUGUGACAAUUAACAAUAGCUAAUGCAUACUGAAUGCUCCUCGUAUGCCAAACACUAUACUCUAUAGUCCGUGUUCAUCUUCUUAUUUAAUCGUAAUAAAAAUACCAUGACAGAGACAAUAUUAAGUGACAUCUGGUUAAAUAAUCAAAAAAAAAAACCAGUCAAUAUUUAAUAGGAUUGCUCCAUGUGUAAUAAACAUGUAGUAAGUGGUAACCACUUUCUUUCGCAGGUCUGAUGAUGGUGUUGUGAUUACAGCCUCUAACCAGCAGCUGAGCCCUGUCUGACACUCCUGUGGACACUGCCAUAGUAAUCUGAUGUCAAAUGCUCAUUUUCACAAUUUAAAUGAAUGUAGGUGGGCUAGAAUUUAUAAAGACCAGUUCAGAGCUUUUUAAUUGAAAACAUGUUUCCAUGAAAUUUAAAUACAUUCAGAGAUGGCAGAUGUUCUGUUCCGACAUCUACUUGAGUUGAAUUCACGCAAAGCAUACGUUGCAUCAACGGUCUUCAAUGUGUUAAAUUUGCAUGUAUUUAUAAUUGUGAAAAAUCCAAGAAUUGUUUUUUCAGGUUUCAAAGUUUUGAAAAAAUGAAAUUGGAAUCAAUUAUUUGUGGAAUCCUGGAAGCAUUGCCCUCCAGGAGAGCCUAGUUGACCCCCCGGGGUUCACCCCUGCUUUAAGACCUUAUGAUUCUACUGUCAGAAAAGGUAAAAAUCUAAGAUCUGCAGAAGCCCAUCCUUCCAACCAAUGAACAAAAUCCAGCUGAUAUUUAUUUUAAAUUCCAAUCAAUGUAGAGAGCAUGAUGAGUAAGAGGAAUCAUUAUGGUUGUCACUCACAUUUUUUUCUCAUUGAAUAAACAUGAAUAUUUGAAGUUUGGUAGUCAUACACACCUCUCUCUCUCUCUCUCUCUCUCUCUCUCUCUCUCUCUCUCUCUUUUUCUCUCUCUCUCUCUCAUGUCUUGUGGGUUCCUGGCUUUAAACAUUAGAGCAAUUUCAUAAUGUUUCCUGAUCUGUACUUUUCAAAAAGCCGGCUGUUCCUCACUCACAUGAUCAGUCACGGUAUCUCAAUGGGAAGGCCACAGUUAGCCACAGGGCUUCUAAUGGUAGAUCAGAAGCUUCCAGAUUUGAGGCCAACACUUUCAGUGGCUUUCUGAUGGGCUGGCUUGUCUUCUUUUUGCAUUCCCUGCCCCACCCCCCGGAACUAGAAGUCAUAAUUCUUUCUCCCACUCCCUUGCCUUUUCUUUAUUUUGUGCUAGGCAUCAAACCCAGGGCCUCAUGUGUGCUAGGCAAGGGCUCUACUACCACCGAGUCACACACCCAGCCCCGAUUCUUCCCGUCUGGAGCCAGAGCAGGCCACUGGCAUAACAGGAAUGAGAGAAACCGAGAGAAAUAACCUCCCUGAAGAAUGGGUAGACAUCAGCAUAAAACUGAGAGAAAAGGGAGACAAAAAAAAAAAAAAAAAUUCAGAACAGGAACUUUUCCAAAAGCAGAAGCAUGUGACAGAAUGUUUCAAAGGUCCAGCUUUAAACCUGAAUCUCUGAGGGAAAUUAAAAGCUAAAAGUCCUGGACACCGUGACAGACUGUGACUAGACACAGAAGACACGGAGUAAAAUCCUAACAAUAAGUAGUGCCUCCGAAAUAAAGAAAAGCUAAUUCAAAACCACAGCUAUAAUUACCUUGAUUAAAAGAGCAUGUCUCUGUCUUAAAUUUUCAGAGAAAGGUUAUAAAAAAAUCACUUAAUUUAAAAUAAAGCAUACCUUUUGGUAUGGAAACACAUAAGCCCUGCAGCAAAGGAGGGUAAUAUAAUUAAUUUUUACAUCAAAUUUUGAGUGAAGGGAAAUAUUUUCCAUUUGUUUGUCAAACUUGCAAACAUUAACAAGCGAUUAAUGACUCCUAAAUUCAACAAAGUCAUUACCAAACUAAUAAAGGCAAUCAGAGCCAAGAUUCAUGGUUACUCAACCCAAAGAUGGAAAAGACUGAAUUAGCUAAAUGAAGUCAGAUGAUAGAUUAAAAAACAAAAAAGAGAGAGAGAGAGAGAGAGAGAGAAAGAAAAAAGAAAAAACAACUACUAAUCUCAUUAAUGGGGAAAUUAGGAAAGUGCUACCAACUCCCUGACUUUCUGUCACCUCGGGCCAUCUCUGCUCCCCCCCAUGUCUGUUGAUUGUCUUACUUCGAUUACAAGGCACUGAGGCAGGACACAUCUCAUAAGCUGCAUCCCAUGUUGAGCAUUUCCUUGGCAUUAAAUGGAAUAUAUUCUGUGGUUCAUUAGUUCAUUCAUCCAGCAAAUGAUUACUGAACGCGUAUUGAGAGCAAAGCAUUGAUUUGAGUUUGCUAGUUAUGCCAAGAUGAAAAGAUAUGACCCUUGCCCUUGCAGAAGUUAACAGUCCAGGGAGGGACACAUACAUAAAUGUAAUUAUAAUAUAAUAUGCAUACAUACAUAAAAGUCAUUAGGAUUCGGAAGAUCUUUGCAAAAAGGAGCAAUGAGCACUGGGGGAGAAGGAGGCUGAAAGCUUCCUGGGGAGGAGGUCCAGCUUCAGCUGAGAGUUAAAGGGUGAGAAGAGGUUGGCCAUGAGGACUGGGGAUGUGGUGAACUCCCCGAAGCCCACUGGGUCAUAUGCAACUCAAAUUCAAAUUGCUAAACCAUCACUACUGAAGAUGUUCAAGGCAAGUGAGAGUUAGCCCUCCCCGGUCAUAUUACUGCAAUGAUAUCAGGGAAAAAAUAAUCUACCAAACUUAGAGCAUUUAUUAAAAAAAAAAAAUAUCCAUUAACAAGAAAACACAAAUAAGUUUCCAUCCCAUCCCUUAGAUGAAGUGGCAACUCUCUGUCCUUUCAGGUGCUUUGUGUGAUCAGACCACCAUUGCCCUAUGGGGUAAACACAAUCACAUUCUAGAGGCAUGAUUCUGCUAACCUUGAAAAUGGCACUAGGCAGUUAUAAAUCCUCUGUAUUAGCCAAUUUUCCAAGUACCUGAGGCUGGGUUAUAUAUUUUGUUGAAGAGGUUUAUCUGGUUCAGAGUUUGGGAGGCUGAUAGUCCAAAUAGUAUGGUAUCAGUCUGGUGAGAGCCUCCUUAGCUGUAUUACAUCACGGUAGAGGCUUUCAUAGUAAGAGUGUAUGUGAGCGAUACCAAACAGUGAGACAAGAAAUUAGGGAGAGACUUCUGAGAACUCUGUUAAUCCCUCCUGAGGGCAUUCCCCCAAUGACCUAAUGACCUCCCACUAGACACCAUCCCUGAAAGGUCCCUCCACCUAAUAUUGCCACAAUGGGGACCAACCAUCCAACACUUGAACCCUUGGAAGACACACUCAAACUGUAUCCAAGCCUCCAAAACCAGUAUCUAGACAAGGGACCACUUAGAGAUUUAACUUGAAAUAUCAUUCCUGAGAAUGUUGGCCUCCUAAUUCUUGUACUCUGUGCACACCAGAGUAAAAAGUAUCUCUAAAAUAUUUCAGCCGAUCCACAUUUCUUUAGCACCUUUAAUUUCACCAAUGAAAGCCCAUUUUAAAUAUUCGAGAUAUUCCAGAAGACAUCAUUUCACUAACAAAAAGAAAUGUCUCAUUCACUAAGCUAAUCACACAUCCUCAAGUGUUGCUCAAGCUCUAGCUAAAAGAAGUACUUAUAGUACAUUCUCUGGAGCUGUACUCACCAAUAUGGUAGGCACUGGCCACAUAUGGCUAUUGAGCUUGGUUUCAACUCAGCCAAAUCAAGGUAUUCUAUAACUUGCAUACCCGAAUUCAAAGACUUAGUAUAAAGCAAUGACAAAAACAAUUGUAAAAUAUUUCAUUAAUAAUUUUACAUUGGUUACAUGUCAAAACAAAAUUUUGUACAUACUGGGUUAAAUAAAAUAUAUUUAAAAAC
rnacentral:lncRNA from 1 species